AUAUCAAUAAGCGGAGGAAAAGAAACCAACAGGGAUUGCCUCAGUAACGGCGAGUGGAGCGGCAACAGCUCAAAUUUGAAAUCUGGCUCUUCAGGGUCCGAGUUGUAAUUUGUAGAAGGAUGCUUCGGGCUGUGGCUCCGGUCUAAGUUCCUUGGAACAGGACGUCAGUAGAGGGUGAGAAUCCCGUAUGCUGGACUGGGUGCCUUACGCCUAUGUGAAGCUCUUUCGACUGAGUCGGAGUUGUUUGGGAAUGCAGCUCAAAAUGGGUGGUAAAUUUCAUCUAAAGCUAAAUACUUGGCCAGAGACCGAUAGCGCACAAGUAGAGUGAUCGAAAGAUGAAAAGCACUUUGGAAAGAGAGUUAAACAGUAC
rnacentral:rRNA from 1 species